rnacentral:lncRNA from 1 species
AUAUUUUGACUAUUGUUCUGGGGUGUCCACGGAUAGCACUUAUCUCUUGACUUUGUCCCUUUCAUCAAUACCUUUUGACCUUUGAGGAUAGUGCAUUCUGAGUUGUUUAAGUGCACAUUCAACCCUUGUUCACAAAGUUGACUAAUGCUAAUCAAAUUUGCAGUGAGAACUUCAACAAGUAGAACAUCAUCUAGGCAUGGAGAACCUGGACUAACUAGUCUACCUAUGCCUUUGAUUUUUCCUUUUACUCCAUCACCAAAAGUAACACAACCUUUUGAGUAAGAUCUUACCUCUUUAAAGUAUUUCUUAUCUAUUAUCGAAGUACCAAUCUUCCUUUGAGGGGGUUCUGAGAGGAGUAUGGUCCAUUAGAUUUGAAGUUUUAGCUUUUGGCUCCAUACCUCCUUGGAUUUGUUCACCCUUUGAGCUUGGACCUUCUUCAUGUACGUCAUUGGUGUUUUGGACCU